AUUGAACGCUGGCGGCAUGCCUUACACAUGCAAGUCGAACGGCAGCACGGGGGCAACCCUGGUGGCGAGUGGCGAACGGGUGAGUAAUGCAUCGGAACGUGCCCAGUAGGGGGGGAUAACCAGUCGAAAGACUGGCUAAUACCGCAUACGACCUACGGGUGAAAGCGGGGGACCGUAAGGCCUCGCGAUAUUGGAGCGGCCGAUGUCUGAUUAGCUAGUUGGCGGGGUAAGAGCCCACCAAGGCGACGAUCAGUAGCUGGUCUGAGAGGACGACCAGCCACACUGGGACUGAGACACGGCCCAGACUCCUACGGGAGGCAGCAGUGGGGAAUUUUGGACAAUGGGCGCAAGCCUGAUCCAGCCAUGCCGCGUGCGGGAAGAAGGCCUUCGGGUUGUAAACCGCUUUUGGCAGGAACGAAACGGCGCAAGCCAAUACCUUGCGCUAAUGACGGUACCUGCAGAAUAAGCACCGGCUAACUACGUGCCAGCCGCCGCCGUAAUAC
rnacentral:rRNA from 1 species